CCCUUAGAUGUUCUGGGCCGCACGCGCGCUACACUGAUGCAUUCAACAAGCCUAGCCUUGACCGAGAGGUCCGGGUAAUCUUUGAAACUGCAUCGUGAUGGGGCUAGAUUAUUGCAAUUAUUAAUCUUCAACGAGGAAUGCCUAGUAAGCGUGAUUCAUCAAAUCGCGUUGAUUACGUCCCUGCCCUUUGUACACACCGCCCGUCGCUCCUACCGAUUGAAUGAUCCGAUGAAUAUCAUGGAUUGAGGAUGCAAGUAGGUUCGCCUAUCUUCAUCUUCGAGGAGUGAAGUAAAUCUUAUCAUUUAGAGGAAGGAGAAGUCGUAACA
rnacentral:rRNA from 1 species